rnacentral:rRNA from 1 species
GAUGAACGCUGGCGGCGUGCUUAACACAUGCAAGUCGAACGGGAUCCAAGGGGUGCUUGCACUUUUUGGUGAGAGUGGCGAACGGGUGAGUAACACGUGAGUAACCUGUCCUUUUCUUUGGGAUAAGCAUUCGAAAGGGUGUUUAAUACCUUAUGUUCUGUCUGCCUCGCAUGGGGUGGGUGGGAAAGGCUUUGGCCGGAUUUGGGUGGGCUCGCGGUCUAUCAGCUUGUUGGUGGGGUGAUGGCUUACCAAGGCUUUGACGGGUAGCCGGCCUGAGAGGGUGGGCGGUCACAUUGGGACUGAGAUACGGCCCAGACUCCUGCGGGAGGCAGCAGUGGGGGAUAUUGCACAAUGGGCGAAAGCCUGAUGCAGCGACGCCGCGUGGGGGAUGAAGGCCUUCGGGUUGUAAACUUCUUUUGCUCUGAACAAGGCAUGCCAGUGGGUGUGUUGAGUGUAGGGGUUGAUUAGCGCCGGCUAACUACGUG